GUAGGGAAUAUUGCAAAAUGGGCGAAAGCCCGAUGCAGCAACGCCGCGUGGGCGAUGAAGGCCUUCGGGUCGUAAAGCCCUUUUUGAGGGGAUGAGGAAGGACAGUACCCUCAGAAUAAGCCUCGGCUAACUACGUGCCAGCAGCCGCGGUAAAACGUAGGAGGCGAGCGUUAUCCGGAUUUACUGGGCGUAAAGCGCGUGCAGGCGGAUUGGAGAGUUGGAUGUGAAAGCUCCCGGCUUAACUGGGAGAGGUCGUUCAAUACUUCCAGUCUUGAGUGUAGUAGAGGGAAGUGGAAUUCCGGGUGUAGUGGUGAAAUGCGUAGAGAUCCGGAGGAACACCAGUGGCGAAAGCGGCUUCCUGGACUGUAACUGACGCUCAGACGCGAAAGCUAGGGUAGCAAACG
rnacentral:rRNA from 1 species